UACAGAGGUCUCAAGCGUUGUUCGGAUUCAUUGGGCGUAAAGGGUGCGUAGGCGGCGGGGCAAGUCGGAUGUGAAAUCUCAGGGCUCAACCCUGAAACUGCAUUCGAUACUGCCUUGCUCGAGGACUGGAGAGGAGAUUGGAAUUCACGGUGUAGCAGUGAAAUGCGUAGAUAUCGUAAGGAAGACCAGUGGCGAAGGCGGAUCUCUGGACAGUUACUGACACUGAGGCACGAAGGCCAGGGGAGCAAACGGG
rnacentral:rRNA from 1 species